GUUUCUCAGAGGUCCAAUUUAUUCCAGUUCCACUUCCGGUGUUCCCUGUGUUUUAUUAUUUUGCUGCUUACAGUAAAGCAUCUGCAAACUAGUCUGAUUUGCUUCACACACACUUGUUGAUUCACCUGAUUCCUGUAAGGGGGAAAGGGAGUUUCUGUGUCUAAUGGCAAAUGCAAUUUCUAUGUUAUACCAAUCAUUUCCGUCAUGUUCAUCAAACAUUACUUCAUUUAAACACAAACUUUGGUUCUGUCAUGGAUGGCGCCGACUAUUUACUGCCUGUACAACAGGAAGCGUCCCAGCAGAGGGCCAGGAAAUAGCAGAAUGUCUCCAAGAACAGGGUAUGAAUGGGUAAGCAAAUCAAAA